rnacentral:rRNA from 1 species
UACGAAGGGGGCUAGCGUUGCUCGGAAUCACUGGGCGUAAAGCGCACGUAGGCGGCUCUUUAAGUCAGGGGUGAAAUCCUGGAGCUCAACUCCAGAACUGCCUUUGAUACUGAGGAGCUCGAGUCCGGAAGAGGUGAGUGGAACUGCGAGUGUAGAGGUGAAAUUCGUAGAUAUUCGCAAGAACACCAGUGGCGAAGGCGGCUCACUGGUCCGGUACUGACGCUGAGGUGCGAAAGCGUGGGGAGCAAACAGG